GGCUGCGGGGCUGUGUCCGGCUGCGCUCCUGGGGCUGCCUCCCGGACUGGAUGGGACAGGUUUCUCACCAGCCUUUUAACAUGAAUACUAGGUUUAAGAUCCCUGCUGCCUGCCUGCUAACGGGAGCUGUUUUAAACUUAGCACAGAAAUGCCGAAACGUUGCUAACCUGUAUUUCAUUUUUAAUUUCAAUAGGUGAUUUGAGCAGUCUUUUAUGGCAUCAUUUUUCUCGUGCAGGACCCUCCCUUCUUUGAGAUUUACAGACUGUUCUGAGCUAGAAGGGAUCCACAAGGAUCCUCAAGUCCUAAGUAAAUAUCCCAUAUGGGGAUUGCUCCCCACCUUGGUGUUUCCAGCUCCACGUUCUGACCAACUGCAACUCUGGAAAAUUAACAAAUUUAACUACAAAUAUUGAUGUGUUCUUUCAAUGAACCCACACAUGACCAUGAGGGCAUCACAACAUCCCAGCUGUAUGCUGCUCUGCUUGAGGAUUUUGAAGCCCAGAUUGCCUGGUCUGGUGGAAAUAUUUCUGGUGGAGCUCUGCCAUUUCACAAGCAGGAUCAAAAGUAAGAUCAGGAGACACCUGGCUCAAAUCUGUGAAACUCAUAUGGCAUGUUGAAUUUCAGGCUGCCCUAAAAUGGACCAAGGUAAAAAUGAGCUUUCAAGAUGAAAAUAAUAAAAACAAAGAAAAUCUUGUAAAAAAAUUACUCUCUUGUUGCCUGUGUGCCUGUGCCUUAAAAUAAGAGUUCUUGCUGUUGUGACAGGAGCUCAAGCAUCUCACUCCUGAGCACCUUGUUUGGAGAAGUAGCAGCUUCUUUUCAACUUGAGGAACCCUGCAGUGCUGACUUCUUUCUCUUCCAUACUCCAAGAGAAAGGACAGAUAAACCCAGUGUAUGCCUCUUAGCAUCUGUCACGUUUCCAGGGUUAGAACUGAGACAUUUGCUGGGGAAAUUGAAAGCCGCUAUGGCUCAGUCGAGGUGUAAACAUCAUAGGAAAAUCUGUUGAAAGCCGGAUCUGAAGGCUCACCUCACCCUAUGGAGGAUGCUUGUGCCUUAAAGCUGGAUUCUGAGAGAAAGCAGCAUUUCUGAAUGUGUGGAAUGCAGCACUAGAUCUGAAAGAUGCUGAGAAAAUCCAUUUAAGGAGUCAUGAUGUGGAUCAUGGCUUUAAAUGUGUUUAUUGUCACAUGGCUGAGUAGAUCUUAAUGGAAAAUCAUUGAAAAUCACACAUGUUGAUGAAAGAAACCUUCCAGUGCUUCAUCGGUGAAAGUGCUAUUAUAUCACUUUAUAAAGUGCCUGGAAAGUGCACAGAAACAGCCAUCAGAGGAAACCUCAUCUCAGUGUACAUCAUCUGAAACCGAGCAGAUAAGCAAUCUUCAUGUAGCUUGCUUGGCAUUAUCAGGAUAUGGCUAUGUGCCCACACAGUGAUUUUACCACUACUGCAACAAACCACAGCUUUUAAUACAACUAAGGAAUGGAUCAAGGUCUGGAAGCAUCUGUGCAAGCACAGACUCUUCAGAGUUACUGGCUUCAGCUCCAUCACAACAUCCUUACAUGUGUUGGUGGUGUCUUGACUAAACCACGCUGGUGUACACUGGAUUGGAGCGUCAGGUUAAAAAAACCCCAAGCAACACAACAAAUGAACAAACAAAAACCAACUCCAAUUACUUUUCUUGAGAAGCUCUACUUUAUGUGUGUUGCACAAACAUAGCACAGAAUGAGGAGCAAGGUUUAUGUUCUCUACAGCUUUGUCUUUCCUCACCUGAAAGUUUCAUAUCUCAGAUUUUUAAGUCUUCCCAUCACUGAUGGUAUUACAAAAUAUUGGUGUAGUGUAUUUUAGUUUUUUUUUUUUUUUAAUUAGUUUACUUAAGCUUAGUAAGCUUAUUUCUUAAAUGGCAAUCCAGAGAAGAGUUGAAGGAGCAUAUGGAAAAUUACAGAACUGCUACCACCCUUUUGUCUUCAUUUUGGGAUCAGGCAUUCAAAACCAGACAUCAAUUGAGUGGACAUCACAAGCAAAACCACAAAUGGAAGAGAAGGAAGAAGCCUGAAGAUAAUCCUGUGUGUUUCAACACAAAAGCAACUUGAAAGAAGGAUUCAAGCUAAUUUAAAUGUAGCAUGUACAGUAGGCUGAUGAUGUAAUAC